UACGUAGGGCGCAAGCGUUGUCCGGAAUUAUUGGGCGUAAAGAGCUCGUAGGCGGCUUGUCACGUCGGAUGUGAAAGCCCGGGGCUUAACUCCGGGUCUGCAUUCGAUACGGGCUGGCUAGAGUGUGGUAGGGGAGAUCGGAAUUCCUGGUGUAGCGGUGGAAUGCGCAGAUAUCAGGAGGAACACCGGUGGCGAAGGCGGAUCUCUGGGCCGAUACUGACGCUGAGGAGCGAAAGCGUGGGGAGCGAACAGG
rnacentral:rRNA from 1 species